rnacentral:rRNA from 1 species
GAGUUUGAUCAUGGCUCAGAGCGAACGCUGGCGGCAGGCCUAACACAUGCAAGUCGAGCGGAUGUAGCAAUACAUCAGCGGCAGACGGGAGAGUAACACGUGGGAACGUGCCCUUUGGUUCGGAAUAACUCGGCGAAAGCCGUGCUAAUACCGGAUAAGCCCUUACGGGGAAAGAUUUAUCGCCAUUGGAGCGGCCCGCGUCUGAUUAGCUAGUUGGUGAGGUAAUGGCUCACCAAGGCGACGAUCAGUAGCUGGUCUGAGAGGAUGAUCAGCCUCACUGGGACUGAGACACGGCCCAGACUCCUACGGGAGGCAGCAGUGGGGAAUAUUGGACAAUGGGCGCAAGCCUGAUCCAGCCAUGCCGCGUGGAUGAUGAAGGCCUUAGGGUUGUAAAGUCCUUUUAACGGGGAAGAUAAUGACGGUACCCGUAGAAUAAGCCCCGGCUAACUUCGUGCUAGCAGCCGCCGCCGUAAC